CAUAAAUAAAGUAUUCCAAUAACAAUGUAAAGAUCUAGAGGAGAGAGAUUUUCAGCGAGUUUUGAUAGUCUUGCUUAAGAUUUUAUUCCAUUUGAACGCGUCAUUUAGAGCUGUCAGAGUGGCGGACAUCAAUGCCUGUCACCUCUGAGGUCUAACAUAGUAUGAAUAGAUGUAAGCAAGAUAUCUUGCUAGGAUCGGAGAUUUUUCAGCAAGUUUUAAGACCUCUUGCAAAGAAUUGAUUGAAAUGCCUCAUUCUGAUUCUAUAUUUUCAAGGUUCAGCUGAUCUUUUAGGUGAGAGGUUGCAAGUCUCGGCAUUGUCGCCACCUUGGGGAUGACCAUGUACCCUCCCAACCAACCUGAGCAGGAGAGCCUCAAGGUUCAGCUGAUCUUUUAGGUGAGAGGUUGCAAGUCUCGGCAGUGUAGCUGCCUUAGGGAUGACCAUGAACGACCCUCCCAACCAACCUGAGCAGGAGAGCCUCAAGGUUCAACAAGCCUAGGAUCAUAUCUGAAUCACUGAUAUCUCCAUUCCGUAGAACUUCAAAGGAGAACCCAUCAAAGAUCGUCUCGAAAACAUUUGCCUUGAUCAGGAUAUGCUGAAAAAUCACUUCAUCAUCAUCUUAGUGGAAAUAUAGUCAAGAACAUCAAAAAAAGUAUUCCAAUAACAAUGUGAAGAUCUAGUGGAGAGAGAUUUCCAGCGAGUUUUGAUUGUCUUGUUUAAGAUUUUAUUCCAUUUGAACGCAUCAUUUAGAGCUGUCAGAGAGGUGCACAUCAAUGCCUGUCACCUCUGAGAUCCCAUGUUCGAUUCUCGGUUGGUCCCGGUAAACUAAUGUGAA